UACGUAGGGGGCAAGCGUUGUCCGGAAUUAUUGGGCGUAAAGAGCGCGUAGGCGGUCCGAUAAGUCGGCUGUGAAAGUCAGGGGCUCAACCCUUGAAAGCCGGCCGAUACUGUCGGACUAGAGUCCGGAAGAGGCAAGUGGAAUUCCCGGUGUAGCGGUGAAAUGCGCAGAUAUCGGGAGGAACACCAAUGGCGAAGGCAGCUUGCUGGGACGGUACUGACGCUGAGGCGCGAAAAGCGUGGGGGAGCAAAACAGG
rnacentral:rRNA from 1 species